GAUGAAGAACGUAGUGAAAUGCGAUAAGUAAUGUGAAUUGCAGAAUCCAGUGAAUCAUCGAAUCUUUGAACGCACAUUGCGCCCGCCAGCAUUCUGGCGGGCAUGCCUGUUCGAGCGUCAUUUCAACCCUCGACCUCCCCUUGGGGAGGUCGGCGUUGGGGACCGGCAGCACACCGCCGGCCCUGAAAUGGAGUGGCGGCCCGUCUGCGGCGACCUCUGCGUAGUAAUACAGCUCGCACCGGAACCCCGACGCGGCCACGCCGUAAAACACCCAACUUCUGAACGUUGACCUCGAAUCAGGUAGGACUACCCGCUGAACUUAAGCAUAUCAAUAAAGCGGAGGA
rnacentral:misc_RNA from 1 species